rnacentral:rRNA from 1 species
UACGUAGGGUGCAGGCGUUAAUCGGAAUUACUGGGCGUAAAGGGUGCGCAGGCGGUUAUAUAAGACAGAUGUGAAAUCCCCGGGCUCAACCUGGGAACUGCGUUUGUGACUGUAUGACUAGAGUACGGUAGAGAGGGGUGGAAUUCCUGGUGUAGCAGUGAAAUGCGUAGAUAUCAGGAGGAACAUCGAUGGCGAAGGCAGCCCCUUGGACCUGUACUGACGCUCAUGCACGAAAGCGUGGGGAGCAAACAGG